ACCCCCGUAGGAAAGUGGUUUAAUCCGCAUGCUUUACAACAGGUCACCAUGUUGUUCUGCGCAUGAAAUCGCCUGUUCAAUCCAGGCCGGAGGUA